AGACGGGAAGCGGGGACGGGGAGCUGGUGGGGGAACCCCCGCGCUCUCCGGGCGACCCUCUGCAGCUUCUGCUCUGCCCCAUCUGUCAUCUUCUCCCGACCCGGCGACCCCGUUCUCCCCCUCGCCCCCCAUUCCCUGGGACCGUCCUUCUUAACAGCGCCCUUCACCCCGCCCGGCCCGCGAGGUAGUCCUCAACAGGGGACAAGGUCCGGACGUGGCGCCCCCAGAAGGAGCGCGGAGAGCCCCUGGGACCCAGUCCCGCCAGGAACCGUUCUCGCUAUGUUGCCCAGGCUGGUCUUGAACUCCUCAGCUGAAAUGAGCCUCCCACCUCGGCCUCCCAAAGUGCUGGGAUUACAUGCAUCCCCUGUGCCCCAGUACUGUCUCCUCUCCCCAGCCCAGCCCCCACAGCUGCCUGCCCUGGCCUCACUCCCUGGCCUCCCCCAUCCCAGCCUCUGGGUCCCUGAGUCAGUCCCUGGGGCUGUCUGCCCUCUAGGGGAGCCUCUGGUGUGGACCAGAAAGUAACCUAAUCCCUUCCAGGCCCACCCUGGAAACAAAGGGAUUUGUCCACUAGCCUGGUGGUGAGAACCAUGUGGCCCCCUGUCUCUGGCAGAGAGGACUCCAGGAUCAAGGGCAGGAAAAAGGAGGAGCCUCCUGGGGAGCUUCAGAAGGAGGAUCCCAAGUCCCUCCCGCCCCACUUCUGUGCCUGGGUCACUCACACCCCUGCCUGACUCUAGCCCCCCUUCUCCAGGGGUCGCCACAACAUGUGAAUCAUGCCCAGCGUCUUCCAUUACACCCUUGAUAAAGUCCUCUCCUCACCAGGACCUCUGUCAUUUUACCUCAUGGUUUUGAAAUAAUUUUUGGUCUUUUAGCAGUUUAAAAAUAUUGUUUUGUUUUUUUUCCUGAGUUUGGAGCAUUCCUGUUACUAAUUACAUUUUUUUUUUAGACAGGUGCACACUACUACACCCAGCUAAUUUUUGUUUUGUUUUGUUUUGGUAGAGAUAGGAUCUUGCUAUGGUACCCAGGCUGGUCUUCAACUCCUGGGCUCGAGCAAUCCUCCUGCAUUGGCCUCCCAAAGUGCUGGAAUUACAGGCAUGAGGCAGCACGCCCAGCCCUAAUUACUUCUAUUACGCCAAAUUCCUUGUGUGGAAUUUCUGUGCUUUGCACACAAAUUGCCAGGUUGGCCCCAAAGGGGAAAAAGGUGGAUCCCAUUUUCCCAUCUUCUAUGCCUACGUGGCUGACAAAUCUCCCGAAUCCUACAGGAGCUGUCGUUGAUCUUUGUCCUCUAUUUGCUGAAAUAAAGUUCACCAUGGA